AUUGAACGCUGGCGGCAUGCCUUACACAUGCAAGUCGAACGGCAGCAUGAUCUAGCUUGCUAGAUUGAUGGCGAGUGGCGAACGGGUGAGUAAUACAUCGGAACGUGCCCUGUAUUGGGGGAUAACUAGUCGAAAGAUUAGCUAAUACCGCAUACGACCUGAGGGUGAAAGUGGGGGACCGCAAGGCCUCAUGCUAUAGGAGCGGCCGAUGUCUGAUUAGCUAGUUGGUGAGGUAAAGGCUCACCAAGGCGACGAUCAGUAGCUGGUCUGAGAGGACGAUCAGCCACACUGGGACUGAGACACGGCCCAGACUCCUACGGGAGGCAGCAGUGGGGAAUUUUGGACAAUGGGCGAAAGCCUGAUCCAGCAAUGCCGCGUGUGUGAAGAAGGCCUUCGGGUUGUAAAGCACUUUUGUCCGGAAAGAAAUGGCUCUGGUUAAUACCUGGGGUCGAUGACGGUACCGGAAGAAUAAGGACCGGCUAACUACGUG
rnacentral:rRNA from 1 species